CUAAGUUCCAGUCCCUGAGUCAUUCAUGAGUAGCACUGCCAAUGAACUGACAGCCAUGCUGUGUCCCUCCACAUCCCCUAGGUGACUCGAAGAAGCCUUCCAAAAAGCAUGUGAAAAGGAAGCCCUACUCUACUACCAAGGUGACUUCAGGGAGCACAUUCAAUGGUACGUAUUCUGGAAUCACUCACUGGUUGUUAGAAAAGGAUUCUACAGGAAAUCUGGAGCUUAACUGCUGGCUUUUGUCUGGAGAGCCUCCAUGAUCCAAGACAUCUGGUGGGAAUGAGGAUGUAGGGUAUAGUAAAAGAAACUGGUUUUCCUGGUGACAUA
ensembl:lncRNA FAM230H family with sequence similarity 230 member H